ACUCCUACGGGAGGCAGCAGUAGGGAAUCUUCCACAAUGGGCGCAAGCCUGAUGGAGCAACACCGCGUGAGUGAAGAAGGGUUUCGGCUCGUAAAGCUCUGUUGUUAAAGAAGAACACGUAUGAGAGUAACUGUUCAUACGUUGACGGUAUUUAACCAGAAAGUCACGGCUAACUACGUGCCAGCAGCCGCGGUAAUACGUAGGUGGCAAGCGUUAUCCGGAUUUAUUGGGCGUAAAGAGAGUGCAGGCGGUUUUCUAAGUCUGAUGUGAAAGCCUUCGGCUUAACCGGAGAAGUGCAUCGGAAACUGGAUAACUUGAGUGCAGAAGAGGGUAGUGGAACUCCAUGUGUAGCGGUGGAAUGCGUAGGAUUAUAGUAGG
rnacentral:rRNA from 1 species